CAACUGCGUUUCCCACUCCAGUCAGCAGACGGCGAUUUGCGUCGUUCAGGCGAUGCUGCUAUCGUGACGUAUAAUCUAGUGGACGGUUCUUCAAAAACAACAAGUCAACCACCUAGGUAGCUUGCUAGCCAACGUAGCCGAAAGAUUCAAGCUGUUUUAACGCUUUCGGUGUAUAUUAGCUGCUGUGUUUUAGACACACUUCUAUCGUAUCUACUUGUUAACCUAUUUAAUUUAAUAUGACGUUAUUUUUUAUUAGUCAGAUAUAGUAGCUGGCUGGUUAAAUUAGCACUAGCUUAGUUGCUAAUGAUAGCUAGCUAGCUAAUAUCCCCGAAACAUGAGGUCACUAAGCUUCUCCCCUCCUGCUAAAUAAGAGGUCUGCUGGACGGAGAAAGAAACUCUGGGGCUGAACAUUGUAGUGAAAGAGGAGAAGGAAGAGGAGGAUGUCACAGUUAAAAAAUAAAUUGAGGGCGAGGCUGUUACAGUGAAAGAGGAAGAAGCGUUCACAGUGAAAGAGGAGGAUGAGAAAGAGGAUGCCGUUUUUGACGUGAAGAAGGAAGGGGAGAUUUCUGUCACAUUGAAAGAUGAAGAGGUGGAGGUAGGAGAUAUGAUUUACAUCAGACAGAGACGUGACUAUUGUGGAUCCUCUGGGGAGCCUCAACAACAUCAUGAAGCUGACGAGGCAGAGAAGAGUCCCUCCCGAUCAGAACACCUCAUGAAACACCAGAGGAGACCCACAGGGAAGAAAUCUCACUGCUGCUCUGACUGUGGGAAAGGUUGCAAAUCUUCAUCAGAACUUAAAAUACAUCAGCGAGUACACACAGGAGAGAAAUCUCACCACUGUUUUGAUUGUGGGAAGAAUUACUUAAGAUCAGAAUCACUAAAAGUACACUUGAGAAUUCACACUGGAGAGAAACCUUAUAGCUGUGAUCAAUGUGGGAAGAGUUUCUCACUCAAGCUGCCUUAUAGUACAUCUGAGAGCACACACCAGAGAGAAAACUUACCACUGCUCUGACUGCGGAAAGCGUUUUGUUAGUUCAACAGAUUUAAAAUCACACCAGAAAAUACACAUAGUAGAGAAACCUUUUAACUGUACUCAAUGUGGGAAGAGGUUUAAUCACUCAAGCUGGCUGAUAGUACAUCUGAGAGCACACACAGGAGUGAAACCUUAUAGCUGUGAUCAAUGUGGGAAGAGAUUUGUUACAUCUAGCCAUCUGACUAUACACCAGAGAACACACACAGGAGAGAAAUCUUAUAGCUGUAGUCAAUGUGGGAAGAGUUUCUCAGUCAAGCAGCCUGGUAUCACACCAGAGAACACACACAAGAGGGAAAUCUCAUAGCUGUGAUCAAUGUCACAAGAGAUACUCUGAUAAAAGAUCUCUGAUCAAACAUCAGAAAAUACAUACAUGAAGUAGUUGUUUCAUGAUAUCAAUGAAAUGUCACAAUGUAGAAUAUUUGAAUGAUGUCACAAUGUAGAAUGUUUUAACAUUGUAGUAGGAAUACAAAGGAUUUGAAUUUGUUAAAAGUCCAUAUUGAUACAGAAACACUAAACCAUGAUUUAGAUGUAUUAAGAACAAGUUGAUUGACAAAGUCAUGAAAAAUGGAAUAAACCACAUUUUGGCUCUGAUAAAAGAUAUGGCUCUGGGGUCAAAAUGAUCCAUGUCAGAACUAUGGUUCAAUGUAAAUAUGUAGUGGGUCUAAAGUUUGUUUUAAAUUAUCACUCAUUAAACACGAAUCAAUCAA